rnacentral:rRNA from 1 species
CUGCCCAGUGAACCCACUUUUAACGGCCGCGGUAUCUUAACCGUGCAAAGGUAGCGUAAUCACUUGUCUUCUAAUUAAAGACCCGUAUGAACGGCUACAUGAGGGCUUAACUGUCUCCUAUAAUCACUCAAUGAAACUGAACUUUCAGUUAAAAAGCUGAAAUAAACCCAUAAGACGAGAAGACCCCGCGGAGCUUUAAGCAACCCGCUACUAUAUUUAAUCUGGCUACCAAUAAGCCACCAACACUUUAAUGCAGCAGGACUAUAGCUUUUAGUUGGGGCGACUGCGGAGCAAAACAAAACCUCCAUGAACAAGGACAACCCGCCCAUACCAGGACAACAAACCAAAUGUGCUAACAAAUUAGACCCAGUAAACUGAUCAUCGAACCAAGUUACCCCGGGGAUAACAGCGCCAUCCCCUUAAAGAGCCCCUAUCGCCAAGGGGGAUUACGACCUCGAUGUUGGAUCAGGGCACCCCGGCGG